GCAGGUGUCCGGUUGAGCCUGGGACGUUCUGGCCAGCCCAGAUGUAUGAUCCAGCAUUGUUGAGAGUCCCCAUGGCCGCAGGUCCUGGUGGGGUGUGUCAGGUGUCCGUUUGAGCCUGGGACGUUCUGGCCAGCCCAGAUGUAUGAUCCAGCAUUGUUGAGAGUCCCCAUGGCCGCAGGUCCUGGUGGGGUGUGUCAGGUGUCCGGUUGAGCCUGGGACGUUCUGGCCAGCCCAGAUGUAUGAUCCAGCAUUGUUGAGAGUCCCCAUGGCCGCAGGUCACGGUGGUGUCAGGUGAGGCUUGUGGUGACUCAGGUGCCAGCGAGGUCUCAGGGAUCCCGGGGUUGGAUGUGCAGUGGGAUCUGCAGCAGCUGGGAAGGUGUUGCUGGCGGUUUGCUCCAAUGCAUUAAAUUUUGUGACAGCCAGUUGGGAAUGCUCAGGUACCUCUCCAGGGAAGGGGAUGAGGGGGUUGGCAAGUGUGACACAGUGUCUGGCAGCAGACACUGGAUCUGUUGCAUUCCAUUGCUCUGGUGAAGGCCUCAGGAAAUGGAAAGGAGUGUGAGGAUAUUUGGGGGUCUUUGAUGGUUUCUAGCCCCUCCUCAGCUGCCCCUCACAUGAAUGUCCCAUUUGUGUGUUCCCUUUCUGGGCUGGUGGUUUUUACAACAGAGCCCAUUUUUGUAAGGGAAGAUGGGUGUUCACUGCCUCUGACCAGAAGUUGUGGCACACACCGAAAACCUCUCUUCCAAGCCUGUGGCUGGGGGGAG